rnacentral:lncRNA from 1 species
CCCCAAAAACCUGUUGCAAAUCCAUACGUUAUGUCCAUGUAAAACAAAAACCUGUUGCUUGUUGUGGCUGGUGGGUUUUCAGGAUUGGAACAAUUAUUUUGCAGAGGUGCACCACAGAGGUCCCUGUUACCAGCAUAUAUUGAUGGGUCGAUAAGUGUCUGCAGUUGUUUUCCGGUUGGAAUUCUUCCUGACAGUUUGUUGUGUGACAGAUUCAUUGAGCUCAAAUCGUUCAAAGCAGCCAUGCUUGGAGGGAUCGUCCCGCUUAGUUGGUUGUCUGAGAAGUCAAGAGAUGCUAACGCCUUCAUGUUUCCGAUGCUAUCUGGAAUACUCCCACUCAGAUGAUUAUGAGACAAAUUGAGACCCAUCAACAUAGCAAGUGCAGUUAGCUCUACAGGGAUUUCCCCUGUAAGUUUAUUGCUUGAAAGGUCCAUGUUAACAACUAUAUACAAUGUUUUUGUAUAUUCAAGCUCGAUUCCUUUAAAUACUUGAAUCACAUCCAUCAGCUUUAACUCCUCUUCAUACGGUUGAAAAUCAAAUGCGUGUCUUGCCUCAACCAUCCCGCUCAACUCUCCAAAACAACGAGGGAUGGAUCCUGUAAAGUUGUUGUGGAGUUGACCUUCAAAGCUGUUGGAGCUAAGAUCCAAAUGUUCAAUGGUGGGAAGUAUUUUACUUGAAUUAAGGUGAAGACCAAGAUCAGCAUUAGUAAGGUCACAACCUCUCAAACUUAAAUAUGUUAAUGAAGGAAUCAUGUAAAAUACCAUAUCAACAUUGUUUGCUUGAUAAAGAUUUACGCCACUCAAGUCAAGAUGCUCAAGUGAGGAAAGGCCAGAAACCCAUGCCAUAUCAUUUGACGUGAGAAUAUCAUUUGAACGAAGAUCAAGAACCUUCAAAUUGGAGAGAUUUCCAAUGUGAUGGGGAAUAAUACCAUUAAAAAAUGCAAGAGAGAGAUUGAGGUAACUUAGCUGCUUGAAGGAUCCAAAGAAUUUAGGAAUCUGACUGUCUUUAAAAUUAUUUCCGCUCAAAUCCAGAUGUUGCAGAUGUCUUAACUCAGCCAAAUAUGAGUUCACCUUAUCACCUUCUAAGUAGUAAUCAUAUUCAUAGGCGUAAUUUCCUCUGAGAUGAAGACCGGCAACUCUUCCGUUGGCACCAUCACAGCGGACUCCUUUCCAUGAGCAACAAUCAAUGCCAACCCAUGAAGAGAGCAUUCCAUAGUCAUCUUUGACGCUCUGUUUG